UCUUGAGGGGGUAAAAUGAUGUUAGCCCUAAUUAGAAUAUUCAUCUUCUUCUUUCUCUCUGUAGUUUUCUUCUAUGUCUCUGUGAUAUCUCUAUUCUAUUAUCAUGGUAUCAAGAGCCAUGGAUCGAUUCUGCGUCUUUCUUCAUUGAUUUUGUGCUUCUCUACCUCGCUUUUUCUUCUCCGUGCCUCUGAUUUCUGCAUCUUCUUCCUCACAUCGGUCUUUUCACAAAACCCUAAUUUUCUCAAUUUCUUGAAUUUUUUUGGCCAGUUUUCUACUUUCAUGGCUUCCUCUCUCAAAAUUGAAAGCCUUCCCGGCAUGCUUACUAUGGGAGCAAAUUCUUCCCACGAAUCCCUAAUUGUGGUAGGAAUCAAAUCAAUUCCAACCUAAUUAGGUAACUCCCAAUUUAAUUGGGUAACUCCCAAUUUAAUUGGGUAACUCCCAAUUAAAUUCAGUAACUCCCAAUUAGAUUAAAUAAUCCCCAAAUUGAAGGAAUUAUUUGACCUAGGGUUUUGAUUUAAUUCAGUUCCCACACUUACCAUUCGCCUUACUGAUGAUAACAUCUUGAAGUGGAGUUGUCAGAUUGAAUCUGUACUUCAAGGUUAUUACCUUUUCAGGCAUUGAUGGCUCUGUCGUUCCUCCUCCCAAAUUCGCCAUUGUUGAUGAAGAAGAGAACACCUCUAAAGCUUACUGCUGCAUAUAAAGAGGGGAUUCGCAUGGACAAGGCUCUCUUGAGUUUGCUUAUUGCUUCUCUCUCCGAUGAAGCCAUCGAGUAUGUUAUUGGAAGCAAGACCGCUCGAGAGGCUUGGCUUAAUCUCUGUGAUCGCUAUGCUUCAGUUUCUCGUGCGCGCAUCAAUCAUCUCAAAACAGAACUGCAAACCGCACAGAAACGUGGUGAUUCGAUUGAAUGCUUCAUUCUUCGUCUCAAACAUAUUCGCGAUCAGUUGAAUGCCGCUGGUGUGAAGAUAUCUUAUUAUGAUUUUACCAUUGCUGUGUUUAAUGGUUUAUCGUCGGAAAGAUUUUCGCACACAUCUUCUUGCUGCUGAAACCACUGCUGAAGCGAGUAUGGUUCGUCAUACGCUACUUUGUACGGAUCUACCUCUGGUUCUUCAAUUGUGGCUCCUCAUUCUGGUCAAGGUAUUUCUGCCUACACCUUAUGUAUAUGCUCCUUGAGCUUUUGAUUCGCGUCUUUUUUCUCACGUGGCUUAUGGUCAUGGCAAGUUCAAUGGAGGUCGUAAUGGCAAUUCUCAGUUUGGUCCAUCCUCUAGAUUUCGUAGUGGGUCGAAUAUUUCUUUCAAGUCUAAUGUGAUGCCGGAAUGUCAAAUCUGCAGCAAGAGAGGCCACAUGACAGCCAAUUGCUAUUAUCGCCACUCCACGCCAUGGAGCUUUAAAUUGUUUUCAGCGAUCGAAUUAUUCCUAUUAGGGUCAAGAUCCACCUUCUUCUUUGACCGCCUAUAACUGCACAGUUUGGUUUUUCUCCUCAGCAAUUUUGGAUUGCUGAAAGUGGUGCCACACAUCACAUGGCAAUACUUCUCAAUUGCAGAAUGUGACUCCCUGUAACACUGAGGAACAUGUUACAGUUGGCAAUGGGGAAGGACAAGAGAAUCAAGACAAUUCUACUUAGGGCCAGAGUAAUCAAGGAUUGUAUCCAAUUCAUGUGGCAGCUAAUCAUUCAUCUGUUAUUUCUCCAUGGAACUCUCCAACUCCAGCAUCUACUGCGUAUAUUGCCGCCGCUUGCUCGGCUUUGUUGACGACACUUCUCUGUGUACUUCUUCGACCAUCCCCGACCCAAAGGCUAAAGCCAAUGAAUCUGCUUCUCCGUCUCUCAUCUCCAACCGAGAGUAUGAUGAUUGGGUCUAGAAAGAUCAGCUUGUUCUCUCUCUCAUCAACGGUUCUCUUCACCAUAAAGUUCUCACCACCGUAGCUUCCAAGACCACCGCCCGUGACACUUGGAUGGCUCUUGAAAAUCGUUUUGCUUCUCCGAAUCAGAAUCGUCUUCUUCAACUUCGCAGUGACUUUCUUUGCCCAACCCAUGGUGACUCUUCCAUCACUGAUUUCCUUGAUCGUAUUAACUCGAUUGCCCAUAAUUUUGCUUUGGCAGGUGCUUUAGUUGCUGACUCUGAUCUCCUUGCUGUGGUUAUGAACAACGUUGGUCCUCUUUAUGAAAAUACCGUUGCUGCUGCUCAAGCUCGUGAGAAACCCAUCAGUAUGCCUGAUCUUGAGGCUCUCCUCUUGUUUGCGGAACGUCACUUGCAAUCCUCUUCUUCUCUAGUCAUCUUUUCUGGUGCAACGGCUUUGUCUAUACAAAAAUAGAAUUGUGCCAAAAAUCCGACAAAGUUUCCUCUGUUUUUAGAGUAAUCCCAAAUUUAUAGCCUGUAUAAAAACAGUUCAAAAUAAGACAUUAGACACUCAUUUCUUCAAGAUAAGAAAGAGAGAAGAAAGAGUGAAGAAGGAGAUGAAGAGAAAUAGUGUUGGACCGAAAAGAGGGAGUGAAUGAAAUAUAGACCUUCGAAAUCUUA